GAUAAACGCUGGCGGCGUGCUUAACACAUGCAAGUCGAACGGAGUACUUCUCCCGAGACCGAGGAAGCUUGCUUCCAAAGAAUCAUUUGAAGUACUUAGUGGCGGACGGGUGAGUAACGCGUGGGUAACCUGCCUCACACAGGGGGAUAACAGUUGGAAACGACUGUUAAUACCGCAUAAGCGCACAGUAUCGCAUGAUACAGUGUGAAAAACUCCGGUGGUGUGAGAUGGACCCGCGUCUGAUUAGCUAGUUGGUGAGGUAACGGCCCACCAAGGCGACGAUCAGUAGCCGGCCUGAGAGGGUGUACGGCCACAUUGGGACUGAGACACGGCCCAAACUCCUACGGGAGGCAGCAGUGGGGAAUAUUGCACAAUGGGGGAAACCCUGAUGCAGGGACGCCGCGUGAGUGAUGAAGUAUCUCGGUAUGUAAAGCUCUAUCAGCAGGGAAGAUAAUGACGGUA
rnacentral:rRNA from 1 species